GCCGAGGUGGCGGAACCGGUAGACGCGAAGGUCUCAAAAACCUUUUUCCUAACGGAAGUGAGGGUUCGAGUCCCUCCCUCGGCA
rnacentral:tRNA from 1 species